rnacentral:rRNA from 1 species
CGCUUAGGCGUGUGACUGCGUACCUUUUGUAUAAUGGGUCAGCGACUUAUAUUCUGUAGCAAGGUUAACCGAAUAGGGGAGCCGAAGGGAAACCGAGUCUUAACUGGGCGUUAAGUUGCAGGGUAUAGACCCGAAACCCGGUGAUCUAGCCAUGGGCAGGUUGAAGGUUGGGUAACACUAACUGGAGGACCGAACCGACUAAUGUUGAAAAAUUAGCGGAUGACUUGUGGCUGGGGGUGAAAGGCCAAUCAAACCGGGAGAUAGCUGGUUCUCCCCGAAAGCUAUUUAGGUAGCGCCUCGUGAAUUCAUCUCCGGGGGUAGAGCACUGUUUCGGCAAGGGGGUCAUCCCGACUUACCAACCCGAUGCAAACUGCGAAUACCGGAGAAUGUUAUCACGGGAGACACACGGCGGGUGCUAACGUCCGUCGUGAAGAGGGAAACAACCCAGACCGCCAGCUAAGGUCCCAAAGUCAUGGUUAAGUGGGAAACGAUGUGGGAAGGCCCAGACAGCCAGGAUGUUGGCUUAGAAGCAGCCAUCAUUUAAAGAAAGCGUAAUAGCUCACUGGUCGAGUCGGCCUGCGCGGAAGAUGUAACGGGGCUAAACCAUGCACCGAAGCUGCGGCAGCGACGCUGAUGCGUUGUUGGGUAGGGGAGCGUUCUGUAAGCCUG